rnacentral:rRNA from 1 species
CCCGCUGAACUUAAGCAUAUCACUAAGCGGAGGAGAAGAAACUAACAAGGAUUCCCUCAGUAACUGCGAGUGAACCGGGAACAGUCCAAACUUGUAAUCUUUGUCACGUUGGCAACGAAUUGUAGUUUGAAGCCUAGAUGUACGCGAGCAGCCUGCGGUGCCCAACUAAUCCUUGAAUGGUUGACCCUGGAGGGUGAAAGUCCUGUACGGCACCGCUCUGUCGUCGUCUGCACUGGGCCAAGAGUCGGGUUGUUUGAGAUUGCAGUCCAAAGCGGGUGGUAAACUCCAUCUAAGGCUAAAUAUUGACGAGAGACCGAUAGCGAACAAGUACCGCGAGGGAAAAUUGAAAAGGACUUUGAAAAUAAAGUUAAAAGUGCGUGAAAUUGCUGACAGGGAAGCGAUUAGGUGGGCAGUGCCGCAUGUUGGCUCGUUAAAUCGCUAGUUAUGUGCGAGCGUUGCAUGCGGACAGCCGCGCAUUUGGAGCGACUUUUUGUGCUCUGAAUGCGUCUCUUGGCUGAGCCGGCCUAAACGACCCGUCUUGAAACACGG